UUUUGGACAAUGGGGGAAACCCUGAUCCAGCAAUGCCGCGUGAGUGAAGAAGGCCUUCGGGUUGUAAAGCUCUUUUGUCAGGGAAGAAACACCGGCUCUAACACAGUCCGGGAAUGACGGUACCUGAAGAAUAAGCACCGGCUAACUACGUGCCAGCAGCCGCGGUAAUACGUAGGGUGCAAGCGUUAAUCGGAAUUACUGGGCGUAAAGCGUGCGCAGGCGGUUAUACAAGACAGGCGUGAAAUCCCCGGGCUUAACCUGGGAAUGGCGCCUGUGACUGUAUAGCUAGAGUGUGUCAGAGGGGGGUAGAAUUCCACGUGUAGCAGUGAAAUGCGUAGAUAUGUGGAGGAAUACCAAUGGCGAAGGCAGCCCCCUGGGAUAACACUGACGCUCAUGCACGAAA
rnacentral:rRNA from 1 species